GAGCUGAGGAGAUCCAGCCCCUCUCCCAUGGCCCCUUUCUUUCUAUUUUAAUCACAGGGAGCUUUCAGAAGGCUUAGUCAGUCUUUCUCCUCUCUCCUGUCCCUCAUAGACGUCCAUCGUCUGCUCCGUGCUUUCUCAUUUCCUUUCUACAGCAAUUGUCUUCCGGCAGACUGCCCAGUCUUUCACUCGUAUCAAAGCGGAAGGGCUUCCCUGCAGAGGUCGAAGCCAAGCGGCAGGCAUGUCAAGAGUGGAGUGACUAUACCUCAAGAUUAGGCCAGAGGAAUGUGAGGGUUACACCCUCUGGACUGAAUUUUACAUCUGAAGUUGGAAGAUAUAUAGAGAAUGAAACCCAAGACUGCGAGACUCGUCACUGAGACAUUCCUGGAGGAAAAAGAUUGACAGGCCGUCGUUUAUUUGUGCCGGCUGACGGCCAGAGAAUCGUGUGAGCGAAGCUGGUUUAGAAUAGCGGCCUCAGCCUCUACCCCAGGUAGAGUUACAGCUGGAUAUAUGAAGAGUGAGCCUCCCUCUCCAACUCUCUCAGUAUCUGCGGUUUCCCCGCUCUGCAGAAAACGCCGUCUCUUGAACAUUCCUCACAUGUUUUUCUUUCACGGAAAGCAUGCUAAUUUGUCUUUCACCCUAAACCACAAAAAUAUUUUCUUGGCAAAGGAUGCAAGUUUUUUUUAUUUUUUUAUGUGGACAUCUGUUUUUAGAAGGGGCUGAGAGGACGGGAGGAAAAUCAACAGGGAGAGCGACCUUAUCAGCGUCUGGAGAUCUGCUGCUGUGACUGUGACAUCAUUUCCUGCCCCGGCCCGGGGCCUGUCAAGAUUAGGAGGCCCUCAGGCUUGGGAUUCAGAAACUUGGUUGUUUCUUUCAACAAACAAAAGGCAAAGAACACCAGGUUUCUUCCCCCGUUGGUAUCUGUCUACACCACAGAUGUGUUUUUGUGUGAGGUAUUUCUGGUUUACAGAGAGGGUUUGAGGCGUGUUUUGAGUAGCGUGUCAGUCUGUGCAGCACUUAAAACAAGAGUAGGGUUCUGUGGAGAAAGGCUGUACACUCGAUGACAUUCCAGCAGGGUCAGAGGGAAUCUAUGCAUGUGUGUGCAUGUGUGUACUCGUCUUUCAUUGUUCAUUCAGGUGCUGUCGAGUGAUGCAUGUCAUGGCAUGUUCCCCAAAUGUUGCUUGCUUUUAAUUGUCCAACCAUCAGUGUAUUGGGUUCUCUGUAUCAUGCUCCAUUUUUAUUGCUAAUAAAAGACGACAUAGAGACGCCCUCAA